CGGAGGGGCGUAGCGUUGUUCGGAAGUUACUGGGCGGUAAAGACGCACGUAGGCGGAUCAGUCAGUCAGGGGUGGAAAUACCCGGGGCCGUCAACCCCGGAACCUGCCUUUGUAUACUGCUGGUCUUGAGGUCGAGAGAGGUGAGUGGAAUUCCGAGUGUAGAGGUGAAAUUCGUAGAUAUUCGGAGGAACACCAGUGGCGAAGGCGGCUCACUGGCUCGAUACUGACGCUGAGGUGCGAAAGACGUGGGGAGCAAACAGGAUU
rnacentral:rRNA from 1 species